rnacentral:rRNA from 1 species
CUAGAUCAGAAGCGAGAAUGUUGACAUGAGUAGCGACAAACAGGGUGAGAAACCCUGUCGCCGAAAGUCCAAGGGUUCCUGCUUAAAGCUAAUCUGAGCAGGGUAAGCCGGCCCCUAAGGCGAGGCCGAAAGGCGUAGUCGAUGGGAACCAGGUUAAUAUUCCUGGGCCAGUGGGAUGUGACGGAUCGCAGAUGUAGUUUGCCCUUAUCGGAUUGGGUGGGCUGCUGAGCGGUUCCAGGAAAUAGCCCCACAUCAGACCGUACCCUAAACCGACACAGGUGGACUGGUAGAGUAUACCAAGGCGCUUGAGAGAACCACGUUAAAGGAACUCGGCAAAAUGCCUCCGUAAGUUCGCGAGAAGGAGGCCCCAUAUGUACGCAAGUAUGUGUGGGGGGCACAAACUAGGGGGUGGCGACUGUUUACUUAAAACACAGGGCUGUGCGAAGCCGUAAGGCGACGUAUACAGUCUGACGCCUGCCCGGUGCUGGAAGAUUAAGAGGAGGGGUGCAAGCUCUGAAUUGAAGUCCCAGUAAACGGCGGCCGUAACAAUAACGGUCCUAAGGUAGCGAAAUUCCUUGUCGGGUAAGUUCCGACCUGCACGAAUGGCGUAACGAUCUCCCCGCUGUCUCUAACGUGGACUCAGCGAAAUUGAACUGUGUGUCAAGAUGCACACUACCCGCGGUUAGACGGAAAGACCCCAUGAACCUUUACUCCAGCUUUGCACUGGUAUCAGGAUUGUGAUGUGCAGGAUAGGUGGUAGGCAUUGAAGCGGGGACGCCAGUCUUCGUGGAGCCUCCCUUGAGAUACCACCCUUCGCCAUCUUGAUAUCUAACCGCGGCCCGUUAUCCGGGUCCGGGACCCUGCAUGGUGGGGAGUUUGACUGGGGCGGUCGCCUCCCAAACAGUAACGGAGGCGCGCGAUGGUUGGCUCAGACCGGUCGGAAAUCGGUCGUUGAGUGCAAUGGCAGAGGCCAGCCUGACUGCAAGACUGACAAGUCGAGCAGAGACGAAAGUCGGUCAUAGUGAUCCGGUGGUCCCAAGUGGGAGGGCCAUCGCUCAACGGAUGAAAGGUACUCUGGGGAUAACAGGCUGAUGAUGCCCAAGAGUCCAUAUCGACGGCAUCGUUUGGCACCUCGAUGUCGGCUCAUCUCAUCCUGGGGCUGGAGCAGGUCCCAAGGGUAUGGCUGUUCGCCAUUUAAAGAGGUACGUGAGCUGGGUUUAGAACGUCGUGAGACAGUUCGGUCCCUAUCUGCCGUGGGUGCAGGAGACUUGAGAAGAGUUGACCCUAGUACGAGAGGACCGGGUUGAACGAACCACUGGUGGACCAGUUAUCGUGCCAACGGUAGUGCUGGGUAGCUAUGUUCGGACAGGAUAACCGCUGAAGGCAUCUAGGCGGGAAGCCCCCUUCAAAACAAGGUCUCCCUUGAGGGCCGUGGAAGACGACCACGUCGAUAGGCCAGAGGUGUAAGUGCAGCAAUGCAUUCAGCUGACUGGUACUAAUUGCCU